rnacentral:rRNA from 1 species
UACGGAGGGGGGCAAGCGUUGUUCGGAAUUACUGGGGCGUAAAGGGCGCGCAGGCGGCUGCUCAAGUCAGGCGUGAAAGGCCUGGGCUCAACCCGGGGAAUUGCGCUUGAGACUGGGCUGGCUUGAGUGCGGGAGAGGAUGGUGGAAUUCCCAGUGUAGAGGUGAAAUUCGUAGAUAUUGGGAAGAACACCGGUGGCGAAGGCGGCCAUCUGGACCGCAACUGACGCUGAGGCGCG